UGAUCUCAAAUCAGGUAAGACUACCCGCUGAACUUAAGCAUAUCAAUAAGCGGAGGAAAAGAAACUAACGAGGAUUCCCCUAGUAACUGCGAGUGAAGCGGGAAGAGC
rnacentral:rRNA from 1 species